UAAGACGAACCGUGCGAACGUUGUUCGGAAUCACUGGGCUUAAAGGGCGCGUAGGCGGGUCAGCCAGUCCGGGGUGAAAUCCUUCGGCUUAACCGGAGAACUGCCUCGGAGACGACUGAUCUGGAGGGAGGUAGGGGUCGCUGGAACUUCCGGUGGAGCGGUGAAAUGCGUUGAUAUCGGAAGGAACGCCGGUGGCGAAAGCGAGCGACUGGACCUUUACUGACGCUGAGGCGCGAAAGCUAGGGGAGCAAACGGG
rnacentral:rRNA from 1 species